rnacentral:rRNA from 1 species
UACGAAGGGGGCUAGCGUUGCUCGGAUUUACUGGGCGUAAAGGGCGCGUAGGCGGAUGUUUAAGUCGGGGGUGAAAGCCCAGGGCUCAACCCUGGAACUGCCUUCGAUACUGGACAUCUUGAGUACGGGAGAGGUGAGUGGAACUCCGAGUGUAGAGGUGAAAUUCGUAGAUAUUCGCAAGAACACCAGUGGCGAAGGCGGCUCACUGGCCCAUAACUGACGCUGAGGCACGAAAGCGUGGGGAGCAAACAGG